rnacentral:rRNA from 1 species
CUCAGGAUGAACGCUAGCGACAGGCCUAACACAUGCAAGUCGAGGGGCAUCGGGGCGAGGAGCAAUCCUUGCCGCCGGCGACCGGCGCACGGGUGAGUAACGCGCAUGCGACCUGCCCGUUGCAGGGGGAUAAUCGGGAGGAAUCCCGUCUAAUACCGCGUAAUGCCGCGGGGCUGCAUGGCCCUGCGGCCAAAGGGAGCGAUUCCGGCAACGGAUGGGCAUGCGUGACAUUAGCUAGUUGGCGGGGCAACGGCCCACCAAGGCGACGAUGUCUAGGGGUUCUGAGAGGAAGGUCCCCCACACUGGUACUGAGACACGGACCAGACUCCUACGGGAGGCAGCAGUGAGGAAUAUUGGUCAAUGGGCGCGAGCCUGAACCAGCCAAGUCGCGUGAGGGAUGACGGCCCUACGGGUUGUAAACCUCUUUUGUCGGGGAGCAAAUUCCGCCACGUGUGGCGGAGUCGAGAGUACCCGAAGAAAAAGCAUCGGCUAACUCCGUGCCAGCAGCCGCGGUAAUACGGAGGAUGCGAGCGUUAUCCGGAUUUAUUGGGUUUAAAGGGUGCGUAGGCGGACUGUCAAGUCAGCGGUGAAAUACGGGGGCUCAACCUCCGCCCGCCGUUGAAACUGACGGUCUUGAGUGGGCGAGAAGUAUGCGGAAUGCGUGGUGUAGCGGUGAAAUGCAUAGAUAUCACGCAGAACUCCGAUUGCGAAGGCAGCAUACCGGCGCCCGACUGACGCUGAAGCACGAAAGCGUGGGUAUCGAACAGGAUUAGAUACCCUGGUAGUCCACGCAGUAAACGAUGAAUACUAGCUGUCCGGGGCGAAUGAGCCCUGGGUGGCACAGCGAAAGCGUUAAGUAUUCCACCUGGGGAGUACGCCGGCAACGGUGAAACUCAAAGGAAUUGACGGGGGCCCGCACAAGCGGAGGAACAUGUGGUUUAAUUCGAUGAUACGCGAGGAACCUUACCCGGGCUCAAACGACACAGGAACGUACCUGAAAGGGUUCGGCUCUACGGAGCCUGUGUCGAGGUGCUGCAUGGUUGUCGUCAGCUCGUGCCGUGAGGUGUCGGCUUAAGUGCCAUAACGAGCGCAACCCCCAUCGACAGUUGCUAACAGGUCAGGCUGAGGACUCUGUCGAGACUGCCGGCGCAAGCUGCGAGGAAGGCGGGGAUGACGUCAAAUCAGCACGGCCCUUACGUCCGGGGCGACACACGUGUUACAAUGGCAGGUACAGCGGGAAGCCACCUGGCGACAGGGAGCGGAACCCGAAAGCCUGUCUCAGUUCGGAUUGGAGUCUGCAACCCGACUCCAUGAAGCUGGAUUCGCUAGUAAUCGCGCAUCAGCCACGGCGCGGUGAAUACGUUCCCGGGCCUUGUACACACCGCCCGUCAAGCCAUGGAAGCCGGGGGUGCCUGAAGUGCGCUGCCGCGAGGAGCGCCCUAGGGUAAAACCGGUGACUGGGGCUAAGUCGUAACAAGGUA